UUUCAGUGUCGAUUCCUAGUCGUUGACUGCUGUUCGAAGAUGAAGAACCUCACCCAAUUUAAGCUCCUUUUUAUUUUCUUUGCUGUGAUUGCAUUUCUGGACAUCUCAUAUGGAGGAAAAUGCGAUAGCCCCAGCUCUACACGAGGCCCUUGCAAACGUCGCUUACAUAGAUGGACUUAUAGCGCAAAAUUAAAUUAUUGCUCUUUUUUUGUUUAUGGUGGCUGCCCCGACACAGAAAACAUAUUCAAAACAAGGGGAGAAUGCUACUCUGCUUGUGUACGCAAGAGUUUAGAAGAAAAAAGCUAAAAUAACAAUAAAAAUCUUUUUAGACUUGA